CCGGUUCCGGUUAGUACCAGGAGCCGGGUCGAGAUGGAGGAAGAUGUACACCGAGGCUGGCAGUCGCCGGGUACCGCGGAUAGAUUGGGAACUGCGGCCUAGCGGUCUGGGCGUGGAGUUCGCCUCAGGCGCGGCGGGACCUCCCUGGUCUGAGAAGGACUUCGGGCACAAUGGAAGACAAACGCAACAUCCAGAUCAUUGAGUGGGAACACCUGGACAAGAAGAAGUUCUACGUGUUUGGUGUGGCAAUGACAAUGAUGAUCCGGGUCAGCGUCUACCCAUUCACCCUCAUCCGUACUCGGUUGCAGGUUCAGAAAGGCAAGAGCCUCUACCAUGGGACCUUUGAUGCUUUCAUUAAGAUCCUGCGAGCAGAUGGUGUGACUGGCCUCUACCGGGGGUUCCUGGUCAACACCUUCACCCUCAUCUCGGGCCAGUGCUAUGUCACCACUUAUGAGCUCACCCGGAAGUUUGUAUCUGAUUACAGCCAGAGCAACACAGUCAAAUCACUUGUGGCUGGUGGCUCGGCCUCUCUCGUGGCCCAGAGCAUCACAGUGCCCAUUGAUGUGGUCUCUCAGCACCUGAUGAUGCAGCGUAAGGGUGAGAAAGUGGGCCGCUUCCAAGUGCGAGGGAACCCAGAGGGACAAGGAGUAAUUGCCUUUGGCCAAACCAAGGACAUCAUCAGGCAGAUCCUGCGGGUCGAUGGGCUUCGAGGCUUCUACCGAGGCUAUGUGGCUUCACUGCUUACCUACAUCCCCAACAGUGCUGUCUGGUGGCCCUUCUAUCACUUCUACGCAGAGCAGCUCUCGUCUCUCUGUCCUAAGGAAUGCCCUCACAUUGUGUUUCAAGCCAUCUCAGGGCCCCUGGCUGCAGCUACGGCUUCCAUCCUCACCAAUCCCAUGGACGUCAUCCGAACCCGAGUGCAGGUUGAGGGCAAGAACUCCAUUAUCCUGACCUUCAGACAGCUGAUGGCAGAAGAGGGGCCUUGGGGCUUCAUGAAGGGCCUCUCGGCCAGAAUCAUCUCAGCCACGCCCUCCACCAUUGUCAUUGUGGUCGGCUACGAGAGCCUCAAGAAACUGAGCCUCAGACCUGAGCUGGUGGACUCGAGACACUGGUAACAGUGUGGGAGAGAAGCCUGUUUCCCACACGACUCUGGGGAGGGGACAGAGCAGGGAGACAGCACCCGCUCUACGGCCCCCCCACAUCCCUAGCCCUGCCCGGGGCCAGGUGCCCUGGAGGGACAGGGACUGAGACCUUGAACUGCUCUUGCCGAAGAGGCUCCACACCUGCAGCUCCUGCCCGUUAUUUAGUUUUCCUGCCCAGCGGGCUCCCUCACUCAGCCCUGUACUCCAUCCUGCCCUAAGGAGCCCACCCUCCCCACUAGUCCCACUCUGCCUCCCGCUAACCCUUCUGGUUUCCCUUUCCAUCUGUGUCCCUGAGAUCCUGAGAAGAGCUGUACAUAGAGCUUGCUUACUGCCACUGGUUCUUCCACUUGGGCCGCCAGCCCAGAUUCCAAGCAGUUUGCCAUCAGCCUUUUCCUGCUUCGUCUCUUAGGCUUAUUUUUAUUUUGGGACUGAUUUGCCCACCAGACUACUCUGCUUUUUCCUGCCACUGGGGGCAAGGUGCCAAGCACUUUUGCACAGGGAGUAGGCACAGCAAAAGCUUCAGAGUGCUCAUCCUCUCUUCGGAGUUAUUAGAUUGGGAGAAAUGUUAAUAUUUUAUUUUGUGUGUUUAUAUUGUUUUAACAUCUGUGAACCAGGUUACUGUCUUUGUCCUGCUAAAGCACCUAUCCAAUCCUGCAGUCAGAGCCCACCCUUCCUCCGAAAAAUACAAUGUAGCGUUUCCUUCAAUAUCAGUUCCCUAUCCCUUCCAUGUCCCUGCAGUCCCAGGACUUAAAGCUGCUGGCUUCCCCGGGCCCAGACGACUACAGUGGUAGGCACAAGUCUAAGUAGACCAGGCGGCCUGGGGCACACGGGACUUGGAGCACUACCCUGAAAAGUCAGAUUGAGAGAGUAGCUGGCUUGGAUAGGCCAAGGGGGGGUGUGCCCCAGCCCCUCUCCCAGCCCAGCUGAGCCAGGCCUAGGAGAGGGCAGUUGUCACACAGAUAUAUCCCAAUCACUUGGACUCACGGAAACGAAUGUUGUCUCUGACACGUGGAACUGUCUGUGUUUUCUUCUCCCCAAUGUGAAGUCAUCCCGGUCAUGGCACCCUCUCGUGCAGCGGUCGCCAACCAGUGGUCCUCGGAUCACUGCUGGUCCGUGAGGUCUGUGAGGCCCGAAAGGCUGGCGACCGCUGCUCGAGGGGGAUGCUUGGAAGAGAGCGGGCCAGGAAGUCACCCAACACCAGGACCACUACACACCAGCCUGACACUGCCGAGGUUACCUGUUGAUGCUCCCGGGAGCUAAGUGAGGAGCGUUCCUUCCCUGCCUCGUCCUACCUUGUCUACCAAGCCCGUGUUGCAGGACCAUGGAGCGGACCAGCUGGCAGUUCCCAUGUGCCGGUCCAGAGCCCAAACUGGAAGAAAUUCGGAGGCCAGGCAGACGGGAAAGCUGAUGGGCGUAUUGAGGGACCGGGAAUGAAAUAGGCGCGGUUAACAUUUGAUAAAGUGGACUCUUGUGAAUACUAACUGCGAACACUCGUUCACUGUUGCACUGUACGAAGUCUUUGAAGUGUAAUUAAAAGUUUGUAUUGAGCCCUGA